rnacentral:rRNA from 1 species
GUAGGUGGCAAGCGUUGUCCGGAAUUAUUGGGCGUAAAGCGCGCGCAGGCGGUUCUUUAAGUCUGAUGUGAAAGCCCACGGCUCAACCGUGGAGGGUCAUUGGAAACUGGAGAACUUGAGUACAGAAGAGGAAAGCGGAAUUCCACGUGUAGCGGUGAAAUGCGUAGAGAUGUGGAGGAACACCAGUGGCGAAGGCGGCUUUCUGGUCUGUAACUGACGCUGAGGCGCGAAAAGCGUGGGGAGCAAACAGGGAUUAGAUACCCUGGUAGUCCACGCCGUAAACGAUGAGUGCUAAGUGUUAGGGGGGUUUCCGCCCCCUUAGUGCUGCAGCUAACGCAUUAAGCACUCCGCCUGGGGAUACGGCCGCAAGGCUG